ensembl:lncRNA
UGGGAAUUCAAUUGCAUCCCUUGGUUCCAUAUACAUUUCAAUGUUAGACACUAUUCUGUCAGACUGCCCCUCUUCUUCCAUCUAUUGCACAGCAACAAAAUAUAAUGGAAUACCGGUAGGAUGAUUCAGCCUCUACUGCCAUCUCACCAACAUCUGCCUCUGACACUGUGAGCCAGUAUAGUAAAAUAAGAGGCGCUACUUUCAGAGAACACAUCCAGAAUAUCAAUUAAUGUGAUGAAGAUUUAAAAUGGAGUUAUAGAUAGGAUUAAGUCAUUCUUUAGUAAUAGUUGUCUUUCCUAUUUUCUUUAGAAUUAAUUUAUCUAUUGCCCUGAGGGAAGAUGGAGAGGAACAGCUUGGAUCUAAAUUCACAGUCCUGUGACGAGAUCUCUGAAGGUUGUACAUCUGGAAGGCUGGAUCUCUAUAAUGUUUAGAAAUGAAAAAACAAACAAACCAACAACAACAAAAAACAAAGCACGUUUAGACUUGAAAAAUUCCAAUAAAUCUUCUGCAGCCUUUUGUAUUCCUCAUCUACUGGAUUAUGUAUCUGCUGCCAAGGCUGGAGGAAUCUGAAUUACAAUAGGGAAGGCAAUUGAUUGGCAUUUGCAGGAGAGGCUGCUUGUCAGAAUGCUUACAUGAGCAAUGCUUGUUCUCCAACAUGCUAAUGACAGCCAUGAGAAACCAGCCACAGUGUGUUUUUUGAUGGAAAGAAAUAGGUCUUGUAACUUCCAUUCUUUCCUAUUGCUACAUGUGUGCAAAUUCCAGCACUGACGACUACUGCUGACUGAUGAGCAGCUCAGAGCUGCAUUGGGAAAAAGAAACCGCAGUUUUACCAGAAAUCAGCCAAAGACAUGUAAGUGAAAAGACACACUGAAGCAGCUGCCACUCCAAAAUCAACAAGAUAUGAGAAAGUGUGUCUUACACGGAGAGUCUGGCAAACCUUCUGAGCGCUUGAAGAGCUUUUUAGUUGAAUUUAAAAGAUGGCCUCCCAGCCAUCUCCAGCACCACAGCUGAUUUCACACUCCAUGAUUUCUCACUCCAUGUAGCGUCCACCCAUGAUUUUCAGCUCUUUUUGUUUUCAGGGCUUAAACACUGAAAGCCAAAGGAAAUUAGGAAGAGCAAGCCCUGUUUUGGGGCCUAAAGCAUAGUGUGAAAAGCUCUGCUGCCAAUGCAGGGUGCAGCCUAGGAAGGCCUCUGACAUCAGAAGAGUGACGGAUGUGGCAGAUCCAUCUAUCCAUCUCCAUGGCCUGCAUGACAGACCCUCUGAUGAGAAAGGUGUCCCAGAGGAAAAAAAAAAGUGAGGAAAAAUCUUGAUAUUAGGUACUUUGCUAUACCUGGGCUCCAGAAUUGUGGCGUGUGAGUAGUUUGUAAGAAACAGGAGGAUUUAAAGUCGAAGCUUGAUGGUUCAGAUAGACACCGGAUAGUCCCUAGAUACUUUCCGAAAUAUGCUUGUGGUAGUGUGUAGCUUCAGCAACAGCAUGCAAUUUCUACUUUGGACAAGGCUGUACUGGGGAAAUUCAAAGGGAGAAGGUGAGGACGUGAUGUAUACUUGAACAGAGUAAGGCGAGGGGCA